GACAGAGGGGGCAAGCGUUGCUCGGAAUUACUGGGCGUAAAGGGCUCGUAGGUGGCCAACUAAGUCAGACGUGAAAUCCCUCGGCUUAACCGGGGAACUGCGUCUGAUACUGGAUGGCUUGAGUUCGGGAGAGGGAUGCGGAAUUCCGAGGUGUAGCGGUGAAAUGCGUAGAUAUCGGAGGAACACCGGUGGCGAAGGCGGCAUC
rnacentral:rRNA from 1 species